rnacentral:lncRNA from 1 species
CUGUAAUAAUGUUGCUCUGCCAGCCCAAUACACGAGAGGGGGACUAUAUAAGAAUCAAUGAAGCUGUCACUAUCACGAACCACUCCACGAUCUGGCAUAUUGGGUACAAUCGUAGAUAAAUACGGUAUAAGCACCACGCCUACACAAUAUCUAUCAUUUACCCAUGGAUCUGAUGGAUAAACGCUAUACGAUCCUAAGCAUGUAUAUAGAUCGAAUCU